AAAAUUAAUUUUAAAGAAUAUAACUUUUGCCUUUUUUUUCUUUUUGUCUUAAUACAGGGUUUCACUCUUAUUCCCCAGGCUGCAGUGUGGUGGCGUGAUCUGGCUCACUGCAACCUCUGCCUCCUGGGCUCAAGCGAUUCUCCUCACUCAGUCUUCCGGGUAGCUGGGACCACAGGCACACGCCACUGCCUGGCUAAUUUUUUUGUUUUUGUAUUUUGUAGAGAUGUGGUUUUGCCAUGUUGCCCAGGCUGGGCUCGAACUCCUGAGCUCAAAUGAUCCGCCUGCCUUGGCCUCCCAAAGUGCUGUGAUUAUAGGUGUGAGCCACUGCGCCCAGCCAUGCCUAAAAUAUUUCUAAUUACCACUUUCAAUAAAUAAGAAAUGAACCAUAAAGGAUAAAUGAGAUUUUACAAAAUUCAAUCAUUUAAGGACAAAUUUGAGUUCUGAAUACAAUUUUCAUACAAAUAGUGUUUUUGC
rnacentral:lncRNA from 10 species